AGCGGAACCUUAUUUUUCAUUUCCCGCGCAGUACAUGCAGUAUUUUUCACAACGUAGGCAAUAUAUUAUCACCGAAUUUGUCUUUGUCGGCGUUUGUUUCUUUUGAAUACCGUGCCACGUAGGCAUUCGCGACAAGAAAGUGCACUCAGACACAGCUCACAGCGUUGCCACAGGAUCUCUCCGAGGCAACCGAAGUCCCGGCGUAACAGAAUCGUCAUCGCGAUACGAAAAUACAAUAGGAACAGCACUUCACCAAUCUUCUGUUCAAGGUCACUACACAAGAUGAUGGGGACACUUGGAUUUAGUGGAACGUACCCAUAAGCGACCUCUGCCUGAUCCGAGGACGACGAUGUGCCUUGCUUGAUGUUGCCUGGCUUCCGUGUCGGCAAGUACUUGCUACACUUUCUGGAAUUCCAGAGAACACGGUGUGUAGCUUGGAUCAAGUUCAAGGACACGGCAUAGGCCAGUUUUUCGCCUGGUCAUAUGACUCCAAAGCAGACUAUUGUCGUGUAUUUAUGUACAGUGGAUGGGGCGGCAAUUGUAACAACUUUAGAAGUUGUUUUGAGUGCAUGAACAGAUGCAGCGGAAAUGAACAUGCUGCGCACAUCUGCCGCAUUCUGAAUUAUGAUAUUAUGGCUUACUCCUACAAAGGACUUCAAUUCAGCUUUCCUGGAAUUAAAUGAACAGCUUGAGGUUGUAUUUCGGACAAAAGAGAUCUACAGAAAUUUGAGAGGUUUAUACAUUAAAGUAUGCCAUCAUCUAAUAAGGCCAAGUGCAGAAAUAUAUUCUAGUUUACGCAGAACAUCCACUGAAGUAGUUGUUGCCUUUUUGCUACAGAAAUAAAUCAUGUUAGUUCGUAGG
rnacentral:misc_RNA from 1 species